GAUGAACGCUGGCGGCGUGCCUAAUACAUGCAAGUCGAGCGAACGGACGAGACGCUUGCUUCUCUGGUGUUAGCGGCGGACGGGUGAGUAACACGUGGAUAACCUACCUAUAAGACUGGGAUAACUUCGGGAAACCGGAUCUAAUACCGGAUGAUAUUUUGAACCGCAUGGUUCAAAAGUGAAAGACGGUCUUGCUGUCACUUAUCGAUGGAUCCGCGCUGCAUUAGCUAGUUGGUAAGGUAACGGCUUACCAAGGCAACGAUGCAUAGCCGACCUGAGAGACUGAUCGGCCACAUGGGAACUGAGACACGGUCCAGACUCCUACGGGAGGCAGCAGUAGGGAAUGUUCCGCAGUGGGCGAGAGCCUGACGGAGCAACGCCGAGUGAGUGAUGAAGGUCUUCGGAUCGUAAAACUCUGUUAUUAGGGAAGAACAUAUGUGUAAGUAACUGUGCACAUAUUGACGGUACCUAAUCAGAAAGCAACGGCUAACUACGUG
rnacentral:rRNA from 1 species